GAUGAAGAACGCAGCGAAAUGCGAUAAGUAGUGUGAAUUGCAGAAUUCAGUGAAUCAUCGAAUCUUUGAACGCACAUUGCGCCCCAUGGUAUUCCGUGGGGCAUGCCUGUUCGAGCGUCAUUUACCCCCUCAAGCUCCGCUUGGUGUUGGGCGUCUGUCCCGCUUCGCGCGCGGACUCGCCCCAAAGGUAUUGGCAGCGGUCGUGCAAGCUUCUCGCGCAGCACAUUGCGCUUCUCGAGGCACCGGUGGGCCCGCGUCCAUCAAGCUCACCCCCCCAGUUUGACCUCGGAUCAGGUAGGGAUACCCGCUGAACUUAAGCAUAUCAAUAAGCGGAGGA
rnacentral:misc_RNA from 1 species